rnacentral:rRNA from 1 species
UAGAGUUUGAUCCUGGCUCAGGAUGAACGCUGGCGGCGUGCUUAACACAUGCAAGUCGAACGGAGUUUAGAGAGCUUGCUCUUUAAACUUAGUGGCGGACGGGUGAGUAACGCGUGGGUAACCUGCCUUUCACUGGGGGAUAACAGUUAGAAAUGACUGCUAAUACCGCAUAAGCGCACGGGAUCGCAUGAUCUAGUGUGAAAAACUCCGGUGGUGAAAGAUGGACCCGCGUCUGAUUAGCUAGUUGGUGAGGUAACGGCCCACCAAGGCGACGAUCAGUAGCCGGCCUGAGAGGGUGAACGGCCACAUUGGGACUGAGACACGGCCCAAACUCCUACGGGAGGCAGCAGUGGGGAAUAUUGCACAAUGGGGGAAACCCUGAUGCAGCGACGCCGCGUGAGUGAAGAAGUAUUUCGGUAUGUAAAGCUCUAUCAGCAGGGAAGAAAAUGACGGUACCUGACUAAGAAGCCCCGGCUAACUACGUGCC